UACGGAGGGGACUAGCGUUGUUCGGAAUUACUGGGCGUAAAGCGCACGUAGGCGGAUUUGUAAGUCAGGGGUGAAAUCCCGGGGCCCAACCUCGGAACUGCCUUUGAUACUGCAAAUCUCGAGUCCGGAAGAGGUGAGUGGAAUUCCUAGUGUAGAGGUGAAAUUCGUAGAUAUUAGGAAGAACACCAGUGGCGAAGGCGGCUCACUGGUCCGGUACUGACGCUGAGGUGCGAAAGCGUGGGGAGCAAACAGG
rnacentral:rRNA from 1 species